rnacentral:rRNA from 1 species
GAUGAACGCUGGCGGCGUGCCUAAUACAUGCAAGUCGAGCGAACAGACGAGGAGCUUGCUCCUCUGACGUUAGCGGCGGACGGGUGAGUAACACGUGGAUAACCUACCUAUAAGACUGGGAUAACUUCGGGAAACCGGAGCUAAUACCGGAUAAUAUAUUGAACCGCAUGGUUCAAUAGUGAAAGACGGUUUUGCUGUCACUUAUAGAUGGAUCCGCGCCGCAUUAGCUAGUUGGUAAGGUAACGGCUUACCAAGGCGACGAUGCGUAGCCGACCUGAGAGGGUGAUCGGCCACACUGGUACUGAGACACGGUCCAGACUCCUACGGGAGGCAGCAGUAGGGAAUCUUCCGCAAUGGGCGAAAGCCUGACGGAGCAACGCCGCGUGAGUGAUGAAGGUCUUCGGAUCGUAAAACUCUGUUAUUAGGGAAGAACAAAUGUGUAAGUAACUAUGCACGUCUUGACGGUACCUAAUCAGAAAGCCACGGCUAACUACGUG